AAACUGGCCGUUUGCCCUCGUUUUUCCGUGUCCCUUUCGCGCUGCUCCACUCAGGUUUAUUAAGCGUUAUCAUUUGUUACCCAGAGCAAAGAUUUAUUUGCUUCUUUCGCCUUCGAUCUAGUAUCUCACUUUCGGUCUUCGCACCCAUGCGAAGCAAAUGGAUUUUACAGGAUAUAGUUCUUCUUUCGCCGCGGAUAUUUUGAUCACGCCAUCAUGGAAUAGACUAGGAUUUCAUCUGCAUGCUGUGCUUCACUGGCGUUUGCUCGCUGGCGCUGGAAUUCGAUUAUUUCUAUCUCUUCAUGAAGCCGUCACUGUGGCGCCAUGAUCAUCUUGGCUACUGAUUCGCGGCCACACAAAUGACUAUGCUGUCGGUAGCCUUCAUGAUUCCACCGACGGGCUCAAUUUGCACAUACACGGGUACUGAAUAAGAACAUGGACCACUGUCAAGCUAUCGCCGCACCUACUACAAGAAGGAGAAUGCCCGCCAGUCAAGAGGUAGGAGUGAGUACUUGAUUCACCGUGCUGCCUGAACAACCAAAAGCACGCUGUGCUCAGGUUGGACCGGAAAUGAGAACCUAUGUACCAAAUGAAGAUGAAUACAUUUUUCUUUGAUUUGAUUUUAUUGUUAUUCCGUCGACGUCCUUGGCUAUCAAGUACCAUAACAGCAUGGGAGGACACAAGAUUAUGUCACGUAUAGACAGAGGCAACAGACGUAUCAGAAUGACUACAACUCCUGAAUAAACUUCACUUCAUAAAUAUGG